CACAGUCAAAUCAGGUUAUUGGCU
rnacentral:siRNA from 1 species